AUAGGGGAGCCGGAGGGAAACCGAGUCUUAACCGGGCGUUAAGUUGCAGGGUAUAGACCCGAAACCCGGUGAUCUAGCCAUGGGCAGGUUGAAGGUUGGGUAACACUAACUGGAGGACCGAACCGACUAAUGUUGAAAAAUUAGCGGAUGACCUGUGGCUGGGGGUGAAAGGCCAAUCAAACCGGGAGAUAGCUGGUUCUCCCCGAAAGCUAUUUAGGUAGCGCCUCGUGAAUUCAUCUCCGGGGGUAGAGCACUGUUUCGGCUAGGGGGCCAUCCCGGCUUACCAACCCGAUGCAAACUGCGAAUACCGGAGAAUGUUAUCACGGGAGACACACGGCGGGUGCUAACGUCCGUCGUGAAGAGGGAAACAACCCAGACCGCCAGCUAAGGUCCCAAAGUCAUGGUUAAGUGGGAAACGAUGUGGGAAGGCCCAGACAGCCAGGAUGUUGGCUUAGAAGCAGCCAUCAUUUAAAGAAAGCGUAAUAGCUCACUGGUCGAGUCGGCCUGCGCGGAAGAUGUAACGGGGCUAAACCAUGCACCGAAGCUGCGGCAGCGACACUCAGGUGUUGUUGGGUAGGGGAGCGUUCUGUAAGCCUGUGAAGGUGUGUCGUGAGGCAUGCUGGAGGUAUCAGAAGUGCGAAUGCUGACAUAAGUAACGAUAAAGCGGGUGAAAAGCCCGCUCGCCGGAAGACCAAGGGUUCCUGUCCAACGUUAAUCGGGGCAGGGUGAGUCGACCCCUAAGGCGAGGCCGAAAGGCGUAGUCGAUGGGAAACGGGUUAAUAUUCCCGUACUUGGUGUUACUGCGAAGGGGGGACGGAGAAGGCUAUGUUGGCCGGGCGACGGUUGUCCCGGUUUAAGCGUGUAGGUGUGUGUUCCAGGUAAAUCCGGUUCACUUUAACACUGAGGCGUGAUGACGAGGCACUACGGUGCUGAAGCAACAAAUGCCCUGCUUCCAGGAAAAGCCUCUAAGCAUCAGGUAACAUCAAAUCGUACCCCAAACCGACACAGGUGGUCAGGUAGAGAAUACCAAGGCGCUUGAGAGAACUCGGGUGAAGGAACUAGGCAAAAUGGUGCCGUAACUUCGGGAGAAGGCACGCUGACACGUAGGUGAAGUGAUUUACUCAUGGAGCUGAAGUCAGUCGAAGAUACCAGCUGGCUGCAACUGUUUAUUAAAAACACAGCACUGUGCAAACACGAAAGUGGACGUAUACGGUGUGACGCCUGCCCGGUGCCGGAAGGUUAAUUGAUGGGGUCAGCGCAAGCGAAGCUCCUGAUCGAAGCCCCGGUAAACGGCGGCCGUAACUAUAACGGUCCUAAGGUAGCGAAAUUCCUUGUCGGGUAAGUUCCGACCUGCACGAAUGGCGUAAUGAUGGCCAGGCUGUCUCCACCCGAGACUCAGUGAAAUUGAACUCGCUGUGAAGAUGCAGUGUACCCGCGGCAAGACGGAAAGACCCCGUGAACCUUUACUAUAGCUUGACACUGAACAUUGAGCCUUGAUGUGUAGGAUAGGUGGGAGGCUUUGAAGCGUGGACGCCAGUCUGCGUGGAGCCGACCUUGAAAUACCACCCUUUAAUGUUUGAUGUUCUAACGUGGACCCGUGAUCCGGGUUGCGGACAGUGUCUGGUGGGUAGUUUGACUGGGGCGGUCUCCUCCUAAAGAGUAACGGAGGAGCACGAAGGUUGGCUAAUCCUGGUCGGACAUCAGGAGGUUAGUGCAAUGGCAUAAGCCAGCUUGACUGCGAGCGUGACGGCGCGAGCAGGUGCGAAAGCAGGUCAUAGUGAUCCGGUGGUUCUGAAUGGAAGGGCCAUCGCUCAACGGAUAAAAGGUACUCCGGGGAUAACAGGCUGAUACCGCCCAAGAGUUCAUAUCGACGGCGGUGUUUGGCACCUCGAUGUCGGCUCAUCACAUCCUGGGGCUGAAGUAGGUCCCAAGGGUAUGGCUGUUCGCCAUUUAAAGUGGUACGCGAGCUGGGUUUAGAACGUCGUGAGACAGUUCGGUCCCUAUCUGCCGUGGGCGCUGGAGAACUGAGGGGGGCUGCUCCUAGUACGAGAGGACCGGAGUGGACGCAUCACUGGUGUUCGGGUUGUCAUGCCAAUGGCACUGCCCGGUAGCUAAAUGCGGAAGAGAUAAGUGCUGAAAGCAUCUAAGCACGAAACUUGCCCCGAGAUGAGUUCUCCCUGAGACUUAGAGUCUCCUGAAGGAACGUUGAAGACGACGA
rnacentral:rRNA from 1 species